rnacentral:rRNA from 1 species
UACGAAGGGGGCUAGCGUUGUUCGGAAUUACUGGGCGUAAAGCGCGUGUAGGCUGCAUUGUAAGUCAGUGGUGAAAGCCCAAGGCUCAACCUUGGAACUGCCAUUGAAACUACAAUGCUGGAAUCUCAGAGGGGGUAGUGGAAUUCCUAAUGUAGGGGUGAAAUCCGUAGAUAUUAGGAGGAACACCGGUGGCGAAGGCGGCUACCUGGCUGAGUAUUGACGCUGAGACGCGAAAGCGUGGGGAUCAAACAGG